rnacentral:rRNA from 1 species
AGCGCAGGUGGUGAUUUAAAGUCUGAUGUGAAAGCCCACGGCUCAACCGUGGAAGGUCAUUGGAAACUGGAUCACUUGAGUGCAGAAGAGGAAAGUGGAAUUCCAUGUGUAGCGGUGAAAUGCGUAGAUAUAUGGAGGAACACCAGUGGCGAAGGCGACUUUCUGGUCUGUAACUGACACUGAGGCUCGAAAGCGUGGGGAGCAAACA